AUACGUAGGGUGCAAGCGUUAAUCGGAAUUACUGGGCGUAAAGCGUGCGCAGGCGGUUUUGUAAGACAGUGGUGAAAUCCCCGGGCUCAACCGGGGACCUGCCUUUGUGACUGGAAGGCUGGAGUGCGGCAGAGGGGGGUGGAAUUCCGCGUGGAGCGGUGAAAUGCGUAGAUAUGCGGAGGAACACCGAUGGCGAAGGCAAUCCCCUGGGCCUGCACUGACGCUCAUGCACGAAAGCGUGGGGAGCAAACAGGAUUAGAUACCCUGGUAGUCCACGCCCUAAACGAUGUCAACUGGUUGUUGGGGAUUUAUUUUCUCAGUAACGAAGCUAACGCGUGAAGUUGACCGCCUGGGGAGUACGGCCGCAAGGUUAAAACUCAAAUGAAUUGACGGGG
rnacentral:rRNA from 1 species